GCCCAGCUGGCUGAGUCAGAAAAGCAUGUGACUUUUUAUCUCAGGGUCAUUAGUUCGAGCCCCAUGUUGGGUA
rnacentral:tRNA from 1 species